rnacentral:lncRNA from 1 species
UACCUUAGAACUGGGUUUGUUGUCAAACAGGUCACUGUUAUCGGCAGUUGAUAUGUCUAAGCCGGUAAGCAUGAGUACAUCAGCAAGAGUAGGUGAAGCAGGACCAUGGCCGAAUACAAAUGCAUUAAGCAUGUCUGACCAAAAGUAGGAAGCAGCUAUCAGCAGCGACUCGUUCCUCUCCAUAUCGGCAAUGGAUAGCCUGAUACACUGGUCCAAUUUUCGUUCACCCCAUUAGACUUCAUUUGAAUUGCUGAUUCUCAAGAACCAGUCUUUCCAUCCCUUGGUGGGGCUGGGCCAGGAACGGAAAGCAUCCUUCCAUAGAUCUAAGGAGAAAUUUUCGGCUCUAAAAGGGAUCCUAUUUGUCUCUGCGUUUAUCAGAUCGGUAGGAUCUGGGUUUCCCAGUGGGCCAAGACACUGGAAGUGAGGUUGAUCGGUAGGAAUCAUGAUCUUAUCGGCCAACUCCUAAAAGGUUUUGAGAAUGGAGGAACAGAAAAGAAACAAAAAGAAAGAAGAAAAAAUACUCACUAAAAAGAAUCACAGAUGAACAGGAGUACAGCAAAAGUAUAAAAGAAAGGGGGUGGUAAACUGACCUCGGGGACGACGAAGUUGAUGGCCAUUUCUUCCUGAGAGAAGGAGAGAUCGAAGACCUCAAAGAUUGUUGGAGGAAAUCCUUGCUGGAGUUCUUAGGAGUUCUCAAGCAAUGCUGCCGCCAGGAAAGUAGAUUUGAGGCUGUAGAAUGACAAGAUGGAGGAGGAGUACCAAAGAAGGAGGUAUUUAUAGGACAAAAGGGGGCGAGGGAAAAUCUAACUUAUCUCUUUGUGCAUCCGUGAAAUCCGAGGGUGUUCAGGUAGAUAUGGUAACUGUUCGCACGAUAAUCAAGGGAUUGUGCAGAUGAUUUGACAGCAGGCGGUGAAGAUAUCUUACUGUGCAAGAUCGCCUGGUCGGUCCAUCGACAGUCCUCUCUAACGGUUAUAUUGCCGAUGAGCACAUUCCGG